AAAGGUGCUGGCGAGUGGCGAACGGGUGCGUAACGCGUGGAUACCUGACUCGUAGUGGGGGACAACAGUUGGAAACGGCUGCUAAUACCGCAUGAGUCCUAAGGGAGAAAGGCCGAGAGGUCGCUAUGGGAGGGGUCCGCGUCGGAUUAGCUAGUUGGUGAGGUAAAGGCUCACCAAGGCGAUGAUCUGUAGCUGGUCUGAGAGGAUGACCAGCCACACUGGGACUGAGAUACGGCCCAGACUCCUACGGGAGGCAGCAGUGGGGAAUAUUGCGCAAUGGGGGAAACCCUGACGCAGCGAUACCGUGUGGGUGAAGAAGGCCUUCGGGUUGUAAAGCCCUUUUAGUGUGGACGAUAGUGACGGUACACACAGAAAAAGCUCCGGCUAACUCCGUGCCAGCAGCCGCGGUAAUACGGAGGGGGCGAGCGUUGUUCGGAAUCACUGGGCGUAAAGGGCGCGUAGGCGGAUUGACAAG
rnacentral:rRNA from 1 species